GAUGAACGCUAGCGGCAGGCUUAAUACAUGCAAGUCGAGGGGCAGCACAGGUAGCAAUACUGGGUGGCGACCGGCAAACGGGUGCGGAACACGUACACAACUUACCUUAGAGUGGGGGAUAGCCCAGGGCAACUUGGAUUAAUACCCCAUAAAACAGGGGGCCCGCAUGGGCAUAUUGUUAAAGAUUUAUCGCUUUAAGAUGGGUGUGCGUAGGAUUAGGUAGUUGGUAGGGUAGAGGCAUACUAAGCCGACGAGCAUUAACUGGUGGGAGAGCACGACCAGUCACACGGGCACUGAGACACGGGCCCGACUCCUACGGGAGGCAGCAGUAAGGAAUAUUGGUCAAUGGACGGAAGUCUGAACCAGCCAUGCCGCGUGAAGGAUGAAGGUCCUCUGGAUUGUAAACUUCUUUUAUAGGGGGCGAAAAAGGGCCAUUCUUGGUCAACUGACGGUACCCUAUGAAUAAGCACCGGCUAACUCCGUGCCAGCAGCCGCGGUAACAC
rnacentral:rRNA from 1 species